CAAAUAACGACAAGAGUAUUGAGACAUCUGUUUGUGUAAUAUUAGCCUGUUUGGUAGUUCUUGCUUUCUUUGGAGUUUUGUGUCGAAGACGACGUCGAAAUACGAGAAUGACUAAUCAAACAUCGGUAGUAAAUCUGAAACCGGUGAAUUUAGAAACAGUAAUUAGUGAUGAUAAUACA